rnacentral:rRNA from 1 species
AUACGGAGGGUGCAAGCGUUGUUCGGAAUUAUUGGGCGUAAAGAGCAUGUAGGCGGUCUGUUAACUCUGGUGUGAAAGCCCGGGGCUCAACCCCGGAAGUGCAUUGGAUACUGGCAGACUUGAGUAUGGGAGAGGAAAGUGGAAUUCCGAGUGUAGGAGUGAAAUCCGUAGAUAUUCGGAGGAACACCAGUGGCGAAGGCGGCUUUCUGGACCAAUACUGACGCUGAGAUGCGAAAGCGUGGGGAGCGAACAGGAUUAGAAACCCUAGUAGUCC